UACGGAGGGUGCGAGCGUUGUCCGGAAUCACUGGCGUAAAGGGCGCGUAGGCGGCGCGGGAAGUCCGUGGUGAAAGCCCGAGGCUCAACUUCGGGUCGGCCAUGGAUACUCCUGGGCUUGAGCACUGUAGAGGCAGGUGGAAUUCCGGGUGUAGCGGUGGAAUGCGUAGAGAUCCGGAAGAACACCGGUGCGAAGGCGGCCUGCUGGGCAGUAGCUGACGCUGAGGCGCGACAGCGUGGGGAGCAAACAGG
rnacentral:rRNA from 1 species